CUGAUUUGUUAGCUCUUCGAGAGAAGAGAUGAUAAAAGUUCACUUUGCUGAUAUAAUACAAGCCACCCACCCCCACCUUCCUGUAAAAUGAAGCUUCCACAAGACAACUGAACAGGCCUGUGUACAGAGAUGACCUCAUUUAUUUAGGUGGAUUGCUAACGAUGUUCCCUCUUCACUCUGAAAGUGCUUGAUGGAAUCCUUCACACCGUAAGAUGAUGAGUUCACCUGUACCACCUCUGUCACAUCUUCCUCACCACUGGAGCUGGGAGCAAUCCCUAACUUCUAAAAACUGGUGACUUCUGUGGGGAUGGCAACAUGGUGCCUUGAGAGACUGCAGGAAUUAGAGUCAAAUGGAGAUGAGUUUUAAACUCUUUUUCAGAUGCACGAUCUUGAUGUUCUUAUGCGUUUGGGAACUGCCUGUAUUUCUUCUUACAUCAAGUGACUCUUGGUUCUGUGGUGGUGCUCAGACUGUCACCCAAGAAGGGCUGACAGCCAGGGCAGUGGCGAGCUCCUGCCCCUUACAUUCUGGAUGAUUGACAGUCAUGCUGCACAACCUCCCAGAGUGGGGUGGGGUUCCUGCAUUCCGGCCAUGCAGUCUAUCCCUGGUAUGGCAGGCUUGGAUCUUCUAGGCUGCUCAGAUGGAGGAGGCUAAGUCAAACUAAUUCAUUUCAGAUCAUUAAUUUUGGGGAGGAUAUUGGAACUUUAUAAAAUAGAUGAAUGUUUGAAGUAAGUGGAGAGGUGAUUUGUAUGUUAUGUACCUUUAUAUAUUAUAUAGGCUAGGCCAGCAAGAAACAGCUCGUUGCAGCCUGAGCUCUUCAGAGUGUGCUGAAUGGCCCUUG